rnacentral:rRNA from 1 species
AGGUAAGCUACUAAGAGCGAAUGGUGGAUGCCUUGACUGGUAGAGGCGAUGAAGGACGUACUAGACUGCGAUAAGCUACGGGGAGCUGUCAAGAAGCUUUGAUCCGUAGAUUUCCGAAUGGGGCAACCCAAUGUAUAGAGAUAUACAUUACCUAUAUAGGAGCGAACGAGGGGAAUUGAAACAUCUUAGUACCCUCAGGAAAAGAAAUCAAUAGAGAUUGCGUCAGUAGCGGCGAGCGAAAGCGCAAGAGGGCAAACCCAGUGCUUGCACUGGGGGUUGUAGGACUGCAAUGUGCAAGAGGUAAGUUUAGCAGAACAUUCUGGAAAGUAUAACCAUAGAGGGUGAUAGUCCCGUAUGCGAAAAACAAACCUUAGCUAGCAGUAUCCUGAGUAGGGCGGGACACGAGGAAUCCUGUCUGAAUCCGGGUCGACCACGAUCCAACCCUAAAUACUAAUACCAGAUCGAUAGUGCACAAGUACCGUGAGGGAAAGGUGAAAAGAACUGAGGUGAUCAGAGUGAAAUAGAACCUGAAACCAUUUGCUUACAAUCAUUCAGAGCACUAUGUAGCAAUACAGUGUGAUGGACUGCCUUUUGCAUAAUGAGCCUGCGAGUUGUGGUGUCUGGCAAGGUUAAGCAAACGCGAAGCCGUAGCGAAAGCGAGUCUGAAUAGGGCGCUUAGUCAGAUGCUGCAGACCCGAAACGAAGUGAUCUAUCCAUGAGCAAGUUGAAGCUAGUGUAAGAACUAGUGGAGGACUGAACCCAUAGGCGUUGAAAAGCCCCGGGAUGACUUGUGGAUAGGGGUGAAAGGCCAAUCAAACUUCGUGAUAGCUGGUUCUCUCCGAAAUAUAUUUAGGUAUAGCGUUGUGUCGUAAUAUAAGGGGGUAGAGCACUGAAUGGGCUAGGGCAUACACCAAUGUACCAAACCCUAUCAAACUCCGAAUACCUUAUAUGUAAUCACAGCAGUCAGGCGGCGAGUGAUAAAAUCCGUCGUCAAGAGGGAAACAACCCAGACUACCAGCUAAGGUCCCUAAAUCUUACUUAAGUGGAAAACGAUGUGAAGUUACUUAAACAACCAGGAGGUUGGCUUAGAAGCAGCCAUCCUUUAAAGAAAGCGUAAUAGCUCACUGGUCUAGUGAUUUUGCGCGGAAAAUAUAACGGGGCUAAAGUAAGUACCGAAGCUGUAGACUUGCACACAACUUAGAUUAUUUAAGUUUAGAAUAUGAGAAACUAAGUUAUAUGUUUAGUUAUAUUUUUACUGAUUUUUAUAGAGUAAAGAUAGAAAUAAAACUUAGUAAAAUCAGUAAAAAUAUUCUUAGACUAAAGUUAAGUAGUUUAAGUUGUGUGCAAGUGGUAGGAGAGCGUUCUAUUUGCGUCGAAGGUAUACCGGUAAGGAGUGCUGGAGCGAAUAGAAGUGAGCAUGCAGGCAUGAGUAGCGAUAAUUAAUGUGAGAAUCAUUAACGCCGUAAACCCAAGGUUUCCUACGCGAUGCUCGUCAUCGUAGGGUUAGUCGGGUCCUAAGUCGAGUCCGAAAGGGGUAGACGAUGGCAAAUUGGUUAAUAUUCCAAUACCAACAUUAGUGUGCGAUGGAAGGACGCUUAGGGCUAAGGGGGCUAGCGGAUGGAAGUGCUAGUCUAAGGUCGUAGGAGGUUGUACAGGCAAAUCCGUAUAACAAUACUCCGAGAACUGAAAGGCUUUUUGAAGUCUUCGGAUGGAUAGAAGAACCCCUGAUGCCGUCGAGCCAAGAAAAGUUUCUAAGUUUAGCUAAUGUUGCCCGUACCGUAAACCGACACAGGUGGGUGGGAUGAGUAUUCUAAGGCGCGUGGAAGAACUCUCUUUAAGGAACUCUGCAAAAUAGCACCGUAUCUUCGGUAUAAGGUGUGGUUAGCUUUGUAUUAGGAUUUACUCCGAAAGCAAGGAAACUUACAACAAAGAGUCCCUCCCGACUGUUUACCAAAAACACAGCACUCUGCUAACUCGUAAGAGGAUGUAUAGGGUGUGACGCCUGCCCGGUGCUCGAAGGUUAAUUGAUGGGGUUAGCAUUAGCGAAGCUCUUGAUCGAAGCCCGAGUAAACGGCGGCCGUAACUAUAACGGUCCUAAGGUAGCGAAAUUCCUUGUCGGUUAAAUACCGACCUGCAUGAAUGGCGUAACGAGAUGGGAGCUGUCUCAAAGAGGGAUCCAGUGAAAUUGUAGUGGAGGUGAAAAUUCCUCCUACCCGCGGCAAGACGGAAAGACCCCGUGGACCUUUACUACAGCUUGACACUGCUACUUGGAUAAGAAUGUGCAGGAUAGGUGGGAGGCUUUGAGUAUAUGACGCCAGUUGUAUAUGAGCCAUUGUUGAGAUACCACUCUUUCUUAUUUGGGUAGCUAACCAGCUUGAGUUAUCCUCAAGUGGGACAAUGUCUGGUGGGUAGUUUGACUGGGGCGGUCGCCUCCCAAAUAAUAACGGAGGCUUACAAAGGUUGGCUCAGAACGGUUGGAAAUCGUUCGUAGAGUAUAAAGGUAUAAGCCAGCUUAACUGCAAGACAUACAAGUCAAGCAGAGACGAAAGUCGGUCUUAGUGAUCCGGUGGUU